UUAUCCCUGCGGUGUUAGUUAAGAUUUGUAUUCUUUGAACCAAUUCUUACAGCAUGGUUGCUAGUCAAAUGGUUGUUGUUGUGAGCGUCUUUUAUAGAUGCACCUGAUGCAACCGGCCGGCGACCCUCUUGGACCCUAUGGUUCAAGACAUCAGUCUGACGGCAUUCGCGGGGACCUU
rnacentral:other from 1 species